rnacentral:rRNA from 1 species
ACGAAGGGUGCAAGCGUUACUCGGAAUUACUGGGCGUAAAGGGUGCGUAGGUGGUUUUUUAAGUCUGCUGUGAAAUCCCCGGGCUCAACCUGGGCACUGCAGUUAGAACUGGCAAGCUAGAGUAGGGUAGAGGGGUGUGGAAUUCCAGGUGUAGCGGUGAAAUGCGUAGAUAUCUGGAGGAACACCGGUGGCGAAGGCGGCAUCCUGGACCGAUAUUGACGCUGAUGCGCGAAAGCCAGGGGAGCAAACGGGA